rnacentral:miRNA from 1 species
UGUCGAGUUGCUCCAUCUAAC